CCUGUCUCAAAACAAAACAAAAAACCAAUAUAGCAACAAGUGUGCUCAUAUAGCCCUCAUUUUUACUAAUGGCCUCAAAACAAAAUAGUAGUCAUGAUGACAAUUUAGAUAUGUAAAGACAAGAUGUAAAGUGCUUCACCUAGCAAAAAGUUGAUAGUUCUAGACAAUAAGGAAAAGGGUGGAAGGGAACUCUAUAACCUCUACUUUUAGAUGUUUCAUUUCUUAUUUGAGUGUUUUGCCUUCAUGUGUAUGUGUCUAUGUGUAUACAGUGCCCCAGAGACCAGAAGAGGAAGCCGGUCUCUUGAAGUGGAAUUAUAGGCAGUUAUGAGCUGCUAUUCUGGAGCAGGGAACCUUUGCAAGAUCAGCAAGUGCUCUUUAUUGCUGAGCCACCUCUCCAGUCCAGUGUUCAUAUCUACUCUCAAGCAGUCUCCAGCCAGAUGUUGUAAACCAGAGAUUCUCCUGCGUCAGUCUUCCAAGUUCUGGGAUAAAGGUACGUGCAGCCAUGGCUUUGAUUUUCUGUGGUUGUAAUUCAUGCCUCAACAUGAUCAGAAGUCAGCCUAGACCUGUACUGUACAAUAUAGUAGUGACUUCCACAAGUAUAACCAAUCACUUCCAGGACAUCAAUCUUAUUUAUUUAUUUAUUUAUCUAUCUAUCUAUUGAGACGAAGACUCAUGUAGCUCGGUCUGGCUUUGAACAUGCUGCAAGACUGAGAACGGGAGGCAACUCCCAGUCAGGUGCCACAUAGGUCCAGGUGAGCAGACUGUGCAUAUGGCCUGGUGCCACUUCCUAAGAGGACUCCAGAUACUCAGAGGCCCCAGGUGCCACUAAGAGGAGCAAGUAAGUGGUAGAGAUGGAAGAGAAAGAAAGAAAGGAGGGAGAAAGAAAACACACAAGGAGAGAGGAGGGCAAAAUAACAGUAAGGCUGUCUGAAAAAGUUAUGAGGAAUCAUACUAUCAACUACUUACCUAAAAAAAAAAAUCCUGUAAUACACAUAACUCUACAUACACAUGUACAUAUAUAGCUAAAAUGAAAAUUUCUCUGUUGAGAUCUCAAAAAAAUUGGCCUGCUGCUACAUACUGUAAUGCUAAAUUCUGUACCCAAAGGUCUAGGCCUACACGUGAAUUCUCACAUUUGCCAGCUUUCGUUGUGCAAACCUUGCUCCUUAAUUUAAAACUAUUGGUUAAAUAAAAGUGGCUACAGCCAAUUACUGGAGGGAUGAGAGGUAGGCGGUUUUGAGUUAUCUAGUUGUGGGAGGCUCAAGGAGAAGGAGGAAGAACAAGGAAGAGAGAGGAGGAAGCGCCAUGAGGGGAGAUGGACCACGAGCACAUGGCCAGGAGAAACAGCAGGUAUCUGGGGCACAGCGCUGGGGAUGUAGCCAGGCCAGCAGCUAGAGAAACAGAUUAGGGGUGACCCCCAGUAUCUGUCAAAGCCAGAUAAAAUAACCAUAGUCUGAGUCUCAUUCAUUUGUAAGCUUGUCGGAGAUAAGUUUAAACUAGCUGUACUAUAUUUCUCAUCUGGGCUGACAAUCCUCCCUGCAAGAACCAAAGACCACCUAACAAAAGGCACGAAAUGACUUCUUUUGAGUUGUUGGUUGGGCUGUCCAACAGACUUGCAAAACACACAGGCUGUUGCUAUUGCCCUCGCUUGCCCCUCAGAGGUGGAAGAAAGUCCCUAUUGCUGAAGACACCACACAAGUUUACACAUGCAUAUAACAAGAGGCAAUAAAUUUGAAAGAGCUCAAGGAUGGGCAUAUGGGGGAGUCUGGAGGAAGAAAAAGUCUUGGAAGUCUCUACUCACAUGAUCAAUAAACCAGACAUAACAAAAGUGCUCCUGAGAAGUUUAAACACGAGUACCAACAUGAAAAACUUGGUAUAACCAUCGUGCUCCUGACUGCCUCAGCAUAGUUUACCACUGUCCUUACCUGACUUACAGCACCGAAACUUCUGAAAGUUUCACCGGCCAGCGCAAAAUUCCCUGAGUCUUGAAGUAAAAUGACCAGCAACUAAACACAGGCAGGUGGUCACACCAGUUGUUUUGUCUGAGACAUCAUUAUGUAGCCCAGGCUAGCCUCAUGAUUCUCUCUGCCUUACUUUCCAUUGACCUCUGUUAUCAUACACAACUUCAACUGGUCUUCAAUAUGGCAUGGACUGACAACGUCAAUGUCAUUUUCUCCAUUCUACUUUGUAAUGAGCAGAAGGCUCAUCCCCAUGGGAGAUAGGCUAGUGUAAUGGCUGAUUUCAGUUCAAUUCCCCAGGACUCAAAAUCGCAGGAUGGAACUGCAAGUCAUCCUCUGACCUCCACAUGUCUGUUGUGACAUCUUUGUGUGCACACACAAAUAUGUAAGGAUAGUUAAAAAAAAAUGUCAACUGGAGAUUUAGGACUAAGUCUUUCUAAAGGUUCAAUGAUGGUAUGUAAAGACACUCAUUGAAGAUCUCAUUCAAGUUUCUGCCCGUUACGCCAACCAAAACGGGACAUCACGCUGAACAGAUAUUUGAAUUUUGAGUGCAUCAUUUUUAAGAUUUGAAUGUGCAUUAACAAGUCUACACAGCCAUCUCCAGGGCCAUCGACUGCACUACAGUCAAGCGCAGGCCAGAAAGAGUUACAACUACAGUAGCAGGGAGCUCAGAAAGCAAGGGAGCCUGUCACAGAAACCCAGGAACCUGAUCCACCUCCACAGCCACACCCACCAUACAUGUCUAUACAGAAACAGUAAAUAAAAAAUUUAAACCAUAUAAUACAAAGUUUUCAAGCACUUGGACUCACUCAGCAGAUGCAAAGAUAUCCAAGAGCCAGGCAAUGGCUUAGCCUUCUUGGUACUUUGUAGCAAACCGAAGCCUUUUGUGUUCUACCACUGGAGCGCCUCAUAAUGCCAAUGAGUCCACAACCGCUGAGCUACACAGCCCACUCAAGGCACUAUGCCCUCUUACUAAGAUAACUAUCCUGCUUCCGAGAAACAGCUGCCACUCAUGACCAGAACAUCACAGCAUAACCAUGGACAAAGUUACUAAGUAGAACUGAGUAAUUCUAGACCCUGUGGCCCCGAAGCCUAUGUUACUUAUUAUCAAUCCUUACUGCAGCUUUCAAACCUCUCCUUUGGAGCUACUCUAAGUAUGUGGGAGUAAGUGGGAAGGGGAACACACUAAUUUUUAAAUAUAACGUUUGAUUUCACUCAGAAAUAGCAAAACAUGACUUUCUUAAAGAACUUGAGACUCUUCAAAAGUUACCUAUAGAACCAGGCAUGAUGCUAGACACCAGAAAUUCCAACUCCUGGGAGGUAAAGGCUGGGGAAUUAGGAGUUCAGAGUCAGCCUCAAUUACAUAGCAAGGUGUAUGAUAGCCUGGGCUACCUGAGACCCUACUUCAGAGAACAAACAGAGGCCAUGGAGCCGGGCGUGGUGACGCACGCUUUUAAUCCCAGCACUUGGGAGGCGGAGGCGGAGGCGGAGGCGGAGGCGGAGGCGGAGGCGGAGGCGGAGGCGGAGGCGGAGGCGGAGGCGGAGGCAGGCAGAUUUCUGAGUUUGAGGCCAGCCUGGUCUACAAAGUGAGUUCCAGGACAGCCAGGGCUAUACAGAGAAACACUGUCUCUAAAAAAACAAAAACAAAAAACAAACAAACAAAAAACAGAGGCCAUGGAGAUGAACCAGCGAGUAAAGGCCAAGCCAGAGAGCCUGAUCUCCAGCGCCCAGAUGGUGGAAAGUAAGACCAACCCAUGGGAACUGAUCUCUGAGCUGAGCCAGGGUAAUUCCCACUUUUUUUUCUUUUUCUUUCUUUCUUUUUUCUUUUUCUUUUCUUUUUUUUUUUUUUUUUUUUUUUUUUAAACUCUAUAGGGAUGUACAGGCCUGGAAACUUCAAAUAAAGAGAACAGGGUACUCCCAUUCUCACCAGUAGAAAGCCAUAAUCACACAGUAUCUGUACUUUAUGUAUAAAAUGUUCAGGGCAAGGGUUAGUAGCUCACUGAAUGAGCAGUUCUACUAGCAGUAAAGUCAAGAGGAGGAGAGGUGAAGAAAGAGAAAGGAAAUGGAGAGAGUGAGGAAGGAAAGGCAUGGAAAAUGAAAAAAGGUUAAGAUUAAGGAAAUAAACAUUUAGCAGGCGGUGGCAAAAGCCUUUAAUGCCAGCAGAGGCAGGCGGAUCUCCAGGAGUUUAGGUCAGCCUGGUCUACCUAGCGAGUUCUGGAAAAGCCAAAUAAUAAAGAUUGACCUCCAAAUAGAAAUGUUUAGUCCUAGAUACCUACGAAUACUUUUUCUACCCGAAUGUCAUGUGGCAGAAUUAAUCAGACGAUGCCAAAGACAAAGCCACACUCUGCAAGGAACAAAUCACAGCCUGGGGCGCUCACCCGAGCUCCACAAUCGCUGGGCUGUGCAGUGGAGGCGGCGGCUGCAGAGAGAUGGCCCGUGGCGGGCUUCUGUGCUGGAAGAGGAAUCUGGAAGGCGGCUUCUGCAGAGGGCGAGCGAGCAGAUGGAAGCUUGGAGAGCAUUCGCCAGAGGGAGGCGGGGUGCCCGUGAGACCCGCCCGUCCUAGGCUUCGGGCCUACGGGGACCGCCCCUCGGCGAGCUGCACACACAGCCACGCCUUAAACUGACCCUCCACGGCCGCCGUCACCCCCCAUCCUUGCCUCGGCGACUUCCUAGACGUAAAGAUGAACCGGAGGUGAAGACACUGAGAACUACAGGACGCAGCCAUCACUAGAAAAGAGUCGGGCCUUUGCAGGCGUCACUUCCGCUUCCGUCCUGGCGUGAAGCCCGGGAGAUUUGGGUCCCAGCCACCUUGGAUAGAGAUAAAAUUCUAGGAGCUGGAGAAGGACCCAGGCUGGAUUCCCAGUACCCACAUGGCAGCACACAGUCGCCCACCAAGCCUGAUCUAAUUCUUAUCUAAUCUAAUCCCCAUCUCUUUUCUUUCCUUCUUCCCUCCCAUUCUUCCCUUCCUCCCUCUCUCCCAUUCUUCCCUCCUUUCCUCCCCUCUUCCUCCCUCCCCAUUCUUGUUUUAGUCUUAGCCUAGGCUUGGUGCCGCUGUGCCUUUAGUCCCAGCAUUCAGGAGGCAGAGGCAGGCAGAUUUCUGCGUUCAAGGCUAGUCUGAAAAUUGAGACUAUGUCUCACACACACACACACACACACACACACACACACACACACACACACACACACAGAGAGAGAGAGAGAGAGAGACUGAGAGAGAGAGAGAGAGAGAGAGAGAGAGAGAGAGAGAGAGAGAGAAUAUUCUCGAGCCAAAAUAAGUGACUUUGGCGCAGGAAUACAGAUUAGCACUUCAAGUUCCAUAUGCAAAUAUGCUGUUUCAUGAGGUUAUUGCAGUAACAAAGAAAAUACUAAAGCAUAUGACAUGUUCCCAGACCUUAACACAAUUGACUUCAUGGUAGAAAACUCAGCCACAAAACUCAGCAUGUAGACAGAACCACUAGCCAAAAUGAAAACAAAGACCUAAUCCAUCUAAGUCUGUAGUUCUGGGAAAGUCUUUAAAUGUACAAACCUUGCUGUUUGGCUUCUGUAGUUCUCCUUCUGGCUAUAUGUUCUCGUUAACUGAAACAUGUCGCCAGGAUAUGGUUUUUGUGUUUAAAAGCUCACCCUGAGAAAGGCUCAGUGCUGCACUGGGAUCCGGAACAUCCAGUGUAAUAAAGACCUGGCUAAUAAAGACUUUUUACUGGCUUAAA